rnacentral:rRNA from 1 species
GAUUUCCCAUAGCGUAAGCUAGUAAGACCCCUUGAAGACUACAAGGUUGAUAGGUCAGAGGUGUAAGUGUGGCAACAUAUUUAGCUGACUGAUACUAAUAGGUCGAGGGCUUGACCAAUAA